UACGUAGGGAGCAAGCGUUGUCCGGAAUCAUUGGGCGUAAAGCGCGCGUAGGCGGCCCUGUAAGUCCGUUGUGAAAGUCAAAGGCUCAACCUUUGAAAGCCGAUGGAUACUGCAGGGCUAGAGUCCGGAAGAGGCGAGUGGAAUUCCUGGUGUAGCGGUGGAAUGCGCAGAUAUCAGGAGGAACACCGGUGGCGAAGGCGGUUCUCUGGGCAUUACCUGACGCUGAGGAGCGAAAGUGUGGGGAGCGAACAGG
rnacentral:rRNA from 1 species